rnacentral:lncRNA from 1 species
CUCCACUCUAUCUCUCUCAAUCUAGUAGAAACUAGAAGAUCUAUUUCUACUUUACAUUGGUUGCUAAGCCUAAAAAGAAAUAUUAUUUAGAGAAGAGGUUUUCCUUCGAGGGCACCCCUCAACUCUAUGAUAACUUCUUGUCUUCUCCAGGGGCCAGGGGGGUCUCCUUAUAUAGUCCUCCUCCUCUAUGCAUUUUUGGGUUGGUAGGCGAUGUGGUACUACGUUAUCCUUGAUCCUUUAGGUCGGUGGAACAACAUGUGCGAAGAGAGUCCUGAACGGAGUCCAGAGAUGGGCGGGCACCCAGGUCCUCAGGGCGGGCGCCCUGGGCCUGGCCCCUUUCGGCCUCUGCUUUCUUCCCGUGGCUUCUGGAGUCUUCUAGAUGGUAGAAAAUUGCGCGGUGCGUUGAUAUCUCUAUGUAAUCCCGACAUGUGGGCCUUUCUUCCGUAUUUUCUGAUAACCCCCUGCAGAAAUAGACAAACACCAAAACUCUUGGAAUUCUGUCAGAUAAAACCCUAAGCCUAGAUGUUGAUUUCAUUUGGAUCCUUUUCUUUGUUUAUUUGACAAUUAAAUUUGAUACUUAAGGACCGUCAACAAACUCCCCCAAGCUUACCUCUUGCUCGUCCCUGAGCAAGGAUGGACUCAAGAGUUUCUGCAGUGGUUUCAUGCCUUAAAGGUACACACGCAUUCAAGCAAGAUCUCAUCUCUGAGUUAGAAUAAACUGUUAAGACUUAAGACUUACUCAUUUUACCUUUCACCAUGGGGCUUGUAACCAUCACUUGUGUCUUGAGUAGUUAAAAGAUAGAACGGUCAAGUCAAGCGCCAUGUCUCUUAUUCUUGAUCAGCUAUAGCUCUGGAGUUUUUGCAGAUUUUCAAAUAAAUCUCAGAGAUUCCUUAUAUGACUCUCUCUAGUCUCUCCUUUGUGGUAUUUCUAGAUCCUUACCAAGGCAAUAAUGGUAUAUGCCUUCUCUCAAAGUAUGUGGUAUUUUUGGUAUAAUGCAUAGUGAUAUUGCUUUCUCUCUCACCCUACUCUAAUAAGGUUUUGAUAUCUGGAGCUCAUAGGUGGGAGACAGCUAAUACAUACUUACAAGACAUUUAUUGCAUAGUCAAACCAUGGAUCCAGAGAAACAAGUCAAUAAAUCAAAUCAAGAUGUGCAUGUGUGGCGAAUGAAUGGUGUAUGGUGAUGAUGGUGAUAAUAAUGGUGAAAGUCUAAUUCUACUUUUGCUCUUUUGAGGGGAUACAUACCUUUCUUGCACUUUGAAGCUUUUUGGGGAGAAUGAGAUGCUCUAUAUUUUCUUUUUAUUUCCUCUCAGGUGGGUCUCUUGUACCCCUAAUACUACUGUCGGACACUUGUCCAUUUUUACCUCUCAUCUCACUUUUUCUUUUAUUCGAGGUUCCGGGCACUUGCCCCUUUUUAUUUCCUCGUAUUAUUUUUUUUCUCUUUUUUUAGAGCACUCAUCUCCUGAAAUAAUGUAGCAAGUGGUAGUAACCAAAAUAACUGGAGCAUUUAUUCCACAGGGAAAAACAAAAAUAUUUUUGGCCAUUCUUUCCAAGAUUAGGAGUAGAAUGUUUUUGGGUGAAUCUGGAGAUGGAAAUGAGUGGAUGUAUGUGGAUGCGUACUUCCGGAGUAGAAGCAGCAUGUAUGAGUGAACACGCAAAGGAAUCUUGAUUUUAAUCACAUGACAAGCUCCUAAGGGUCUACACAGUUUGACCACACUCAAUGCUCAUAAGUAGUAAAAAGUAAAUGUGUGGCUCAAAGUCUAAUAAGCAUGUAUAAAUGGCUGUGGUAGGAUUUUAAACUCUCAUCAUACAGGAACUCAUCAUGUGAUAUUUUAAAGAUUUUUCAAAGAUAAAAUUCUCCAAAAUUCUAGCAUGUCUAAGAACAGAUAAACAGCAGCUCAACCUUCCCAUAUCAUAUCCGUUAACGACUUAGACUUUAGAUCAAGUACUCUUCCCACAAGUUCAGGUUUAGAGCAGGUUUAAAUUAUAACAGUUAUACCUAAACUUGAGAGAGAUUUCAAUUUUGACAACUAGGUACAUGGCAAAGCAACUAUUUAUCAUUUCCAUGUGAGAGUUUAUCAUGAGGGUUGAUAGCAAACUUUAUUUAUUUGUUUAGCAAACUAAGCAAAGAUAUAUAUAUAUAAAAGCACAAAAUAUUUAUUUGUGUUUUCAUGAUUAUGCAUCUUUUAUUAUUUGAGUAAAGUAUAAACGCGAGUAGAAACACUUAGCUGGAUAAAUGGGGGUGCUCUCCCCCAAGCUGGAUUUUGACGUAAUUUCUUCUGAUGUAGCUAGCAGGUGAUGGAGGUGUAUUUGAAAGUCGGCGGCACCCUGACAGCGAUUAGGAUGUCCUCCGUCUGCUAAUCUUUUUUUUAUCCUUAAAUUCUGUGGAGCUCAAAUAGACAACAAAGCUUUGUGGAACUGGUUAAGUGUUAGCAUAAAUAUCUAGCCUUUAUCAUGUUGAGCCUCCUCAAUAAAUGUUACUUAUUUAGCACGAUCAAGCACUUAUUAUUUUUAUAUUUUUAUUGUAAAAUGAAAACUUAUUUAUUUUAUUUUUAUGCCACCACAGUGAAUGUACUUAUAGGUUUUAUGCCAUGAGCAUACUCACAUGGGGCUUACUAUUUUUUUAACAUUUUUAUUUUCUUUUCAAGAUAGCAUGAACCUGAUUAACUAAGCAAACUAUAAUUGAAUAAUUGAAAGGAAAAGGAUAACUACCAAGUUUACCUCUCGGCAAGGCGUUCGGUGUUUUUAAGUCCUCCGAACGGGACUCCUUGUGUUUUCAGUCAUCCUGGGAAUCGCUAGGUGGCAUAGUCGGUGAUUCCGGCGGCGUCUCUUCUUCGUGUAUAACUAUCUUCUCUCUCCACACCUGACUCGGUGCUACAGUCUCCUCAGGACAAUUCUGUUCAAGCUGUAUGUCUUCAGACCUUACUACUUCUCCUUCGUACUCUAACCAUCCGUCCUUGAUGAUUUGCCUCCUCUAGUUGUGGUUGCGUUGUCUUCUUCUUGUCCUGACCUGCUUAGAGUCUUCAACUAUAUAGUUAGGGUCAGUAAAAUAGCGGCGUAACUUGUCAGAGGGGAAGUACACAUGGACUUUUCCAGUUCCAAUGUAGAUGAUAACUUUGAUAGUGUUGAGGAAUGGUCUUCCAAGGAUGAUGGGUGGAUCGUACUCGUCUUCUCCCAUGUCAAUGAUCUGAAAAUCAUCUGGAGCUGAAUAUAUAUUGGUUGCAGGGGCAUGGUUCCAUGCAGGAGCUGAUAAGUGACUGCGGCCAUUAUGUUGACGUCAGAUCCGGUGUCGUAGAGUGUCUUCUAAAAAGAGUAUCUGUUGAUUGUGCACUCAAUGCUUGGAACACCAGGGUCGUCCUUCUUGAUCAAGAAAGGCGACUUGAGUCGACGAUCUUGACCUCUUUGAACUGCAGUGACCACCUUAGCUGACUCAGUCCACAUUUGCUUGUUCCUGUUCCUCCUGUUGGUCCUCUUCCUUGGUUCAUGUCGGGAUUGCUCUGAAAUUUGUGUAGUCUUGUUCUUGAAGAAAAACGUCUCCUUCUUCCCUUCGAUGUAGAAACUGAUCUUGGCAGCACUGGCGUAGAUGACAGCUCUAGUGUUUAGGAAUGGCCUCCCUAAGAUGAUGGGUGCCCUCUCCUCAGUAUCAGUCUCUAUCACCACGAAGUCUGCUAGAGCGUACAAGAUACCAACUCGGACAUAGAGGUUCCUCAAUAUUUCCUUUGGGAAACUAAGUGUCUGAUCUCCAUUGUGUUUGUGCUCGUAGAUCCCGGUUCUUCACUUGGUGGAAUCUGGGAGUUGUAAAACUCCUCCAUGUUUUGUUUGAAGUGUACCUAUUCAUAGAGACAAGGCAGAGAUCAAGUGCAUGGGCCCUGUUGGUCGAAAACACCAACAGAACCAAACGUGUAUUUGUUCUUCUCUAACCUUAAGCAUAGUGAGCAAGACAAAGUUGAUGGAUCAUGAGUGUAGCAUUUAAAACAUUUGCCAG